CACGUAGGGCGCAAGCGUUGUCCGGAAUUAUUGGGCGUAAAGAGCUCGUAGGCGGUCUGUUACGUCUGCUGUGAAAACCCAGGGCUUAACCCUGGGCUUGCAGUGGAUACGGGCAGACUAGAGGCAGGUAGGGGAGAAUGGAAUUCCUGGUGUAGCGGUGAAAUGCGCAGAUAUCAGGAGGAACACCGGUGGCGAAGGCGGGUUGCUGGGCCGACACUGACGCUGAAGUGCGAAAGCUAGGGGAGCGAACGGG
rnacentral:rRNA from 1 species